rnacentral:rRNA from 1 species
UACGACGGGUACGGGUUGUGAGAGCAAGAGCCCGGAGAUGGAUUCUGAGACACGAAUCCAGGCCCUACGGGGUGCAGCAGGCGCGAAAACUUUACAAUGCUGGCAACAGCGAUAAGGGAACCUCGAGUGCCAGGUUACAAAUCUGGCUGUCGAGAUGCCUAAAAAGCAUUUCAUAGCAAGGGCCGGGCAAGACCGGUGCCAGCCGCCGCGGUAACACCGGCGGCUCGAGUGGUAACCGUUAUUAUUGGGUCUAAAGGGUCUGUAGCCGGCCGGAUAAGUCUCUUGAGAAAUCUGGCAGCUUAACUGUCAGGCUUUCAGGAGAUACUGUCUGGCUCGAGGCCGGGAGAGGUGAGAGGUACUUCAGGGGUAGGGGUGAAAUCUUGUAAUCCUUGAAGGACCACCAGUGGCGAAGGCGUCUCACCAGAACGGACCUGACGGCAAGGGACGAAAGCUAGGGGCACGAACCGGAUUAGAUACCCGGGUAGUCCUAACCGUAAACGAUACUCGCUAGGUGUCGGCCACGGUGCGACCGUUGUCGGUGCCGUAGGGAAGCCG